GAUGAACGCAGGCGGCGUGCCUAACACAUGCAAGUCGAGCGAGGGUUUGCUCAGUAUUGAGUAUUCUAAGUCUAGAAUGUUCAAUUCUGAGCAAAACCAAGCGGCGGACGGGUGAGUAACGCGUGGGUAACCUGCCCUAUACACAUGGAUAACAUACUGAAAAGUUUACUAAUACAUGAUAAUAUAUAUUUGCGGCAUCGCAGAUAUAUCAAAGUGUUAGCGGUAUAGGAUGGACCCGCGUCUGAUUAGCUAGUUGGUGAGAUAACUGCCCACCAAGGCGACGAUCAGUAGCCGACCUGAGAGGGUGAUCGGCCACAUUGGAACUGAGACACGGUCCAAACUCCUACGGGAGGCAGCAGUGGGGAAUAUUGCACAAUGGGCGAAAGCCUGAUGCAGCAACGCCGCGUGAACGAUGAAGGUCUUCGGAUCGUAAAGUUCUGUUGCAGGGGAAGAUAAUGACGGUACCCUGUGAGGAAGCCCCGGCUAACUACGUGCCAGCAGCCGCGGUAAUACGUAGGGGGCUAGCGUUAUCCGGAUUUACUGGGCGUAAAGGGUGCGUAGGUGGUCCUUCAAGUCGGUGGUUAAAGGCUACGGCUCAACCGUAGUAAGCCGCCGAAACUGGAGAACUUGAGUGCAGGAGAGGAAAGUGGAAUUCCCAGUGUAGCGGUGAAAUGCGUAGAUAUUGGGAGGAACACCAGUAGCGAAGGCGGCUUUCUGGACUGCAACUGACACUGAGGCACGAAAGCGUGGGUAGCAAACAGG
rnacentral:rRNA from 1 species